AGAGUUUGAUCCUGGCUCAGGAUGAACGCUGGCGGCGUGCUUAACACAUGCAAGUCGAGCGAGAAGUUUUGAAAAGAUUCUUCGGAUGAAAUUUAAAAUGGAAAGCGGCGGACGGGUGAGUAACGCGUAGGCAACCUGCCCCAUACAAAGGGAUAGCAUUUGGAAACGAAUAUUAAUACCUUAUGAAACUUAACUAGUGCAUGCUAGGUAGGUCAAAGAUUUAUCGGUAUGGGAUGGGCCUGCGUCUGAUUAGCUAGUUGGUGAGGUAACGGCUCACCAAGGCGACGAUCAGUAGCCGACCUGAGAGGGUGAACGGCCACAUUGGAACUGAGACACGGUCCAAACUCCUACGGGAGGCAGCAGUGGGGAAUAUUGCACAAUGGGGGGAACCCUGAUGCAGCGACGCCGCGUGAGCGAAGAAGGUUUUCGAAUCGUAAAGCUCUGUCCUAUGAGAAGAUAAUGACGGUAUCAUAGGAGGAAGCCCCGGCUAAAUACGUGCCAGCAGCCGCGGUAAUACGUAUGGGGCGAGCGUUGUCCGGAAUUAUUGGGCGUAAAGGGUACGUAGGCGGUUUUUUAAGUCAGGUGUGAAAGCGUGAGGCUUAACCUCAUUAAGCACUUGAAACUGGAAGACUUGAGUGAAGGAGAGGAAAGUGGAAUUCCUAGUGUAGCGGUGAAAUGCGUAGAUAUUAGGAGGAAUACCGGUGGCGAAGGCGACUUUCUGGACUUUUACUGACGCUCAGGUACGAAAGCGUGGGGAGCAAACAGGAUUAGAUACCCUGGUAGUCCACGCCGUAAAC
rnacentral:rRNA from 1 species